GGGGCUGUAGCUCAGUUGGGAGAGCAUUACGCUGGCAGCGUAAGGGUCAGGGGUUCGAAUCCCCUCAGCUCCA
rnacentral:tRNA from 2 species